rnacentral:rRNA from 1 species
CGAAGGGGGCUAGCGUUGCUCGGAAUUACUGGGCGUAAAGGGAGCGUAGGCGGAUAGUUUAGUCAGAGGUGAAAGCCCAGGGCUCAACCUUGGAAUUGCCCUUGAUACUGGCUAUCUUGAGUACGGAAGAGGUAUGUGGAACUCCGAGUGUAGAGGUGAAAUUCGUAGAUAUUCGGAAGAACACCAGUGGCGAAGGCGACAUACUGGUCCGUUACUGACGCUGAGGCUCGAAAGCGUGGGGAGCAAACAGGAUUAGAUACCCUGGUAGUCCACGCUGUAAACGAUGAGUGCUAGUUGUCGGCAGGCAUGCCUGUCGGUGACGCAGCUAACGCAUUAAGCACUCCGCCUGGGGAGUACGGUCGCAAGAUUA